UUGAAGUCAGACAAUGUGUUCGUAAUUCUGUAUCUGUCGUAACAUCAGAGCAAUUUGGAUUACGUCAUUGAUGUGAAGCAAAUGUUGGCAGAAUAUAGCAAGAAAUAUGAAGAAGCUUUGGACGGAACAGAAGUCACUUAGCAUUGUGGAUUCACAUGGUCUGUCAUGAUGCAGCUAGCGAGAAAACAGGAAGAUGGGAAAGAAAUUUCAACCAGAGAGAGUAAUGAGGAUGAAGACGAAAAUGAGAAGUUGGGGGCUUCCAUUCACAAGUGAUGAAACUGGAAAGAUAUUCCUCCAUGGAAGUUAAUGCCAAGAUAUGUGUGCAAGAUAGAAAUACUUUCUUAGUAGAUAGUGGGAUGUGAAGACAUAAAGUCAAACUGUCUGACUUAUUUCUCAUAUAAAUUCCCUGAUCAAAAUAAAAAUAUGCUUGAGACAUCACCAGUUAGCAAGAGGGUUUGAGUGUAAUGAAUGUUGCUUUCUUGUCUCACUGCAUAUUUGUCUGUGCCUGGACAGAUGUGUAGCAAAGAAUGAAAGAGAUGUCAUUGUAUUAAUGUUUAUAUCACUGCCAGAUGGAGAGAGUUGUGUACCGCCCAUUUCACAUUCCAAAACAAUUCAAACAAUGCAUUACUUUUAACAUCUUGAUAAAUGCAGUGUUUGGUGGUGUGUUAUAAUGGUAUAGUUCCAAAAGUUCGCAAUGUUAUUUUUCUAGUCUAUUUCGUGUUCUGUACUUUAAAAGCACCUUGGAGGCUUUUCUAAUCAGUGUUAAAUAUCUUUUUACUUUGUAACCAUGUGUAUUUUCUAAAAAGGCCACACAAAUGGAGUAACAGUGAACUUUUAUGCCACUGAUUUUGAAGAAGGAUGUAUGUUGAUUGUGUAACUGAUAUGGCAAUGUAACUUGAAAUAUAAGAUAAAAUCUUCAGUAAAGUACAUUUGAAACA